GAUGAACGCUAGCUACAGGCUUAACACAUGCAAGUCGAGGGGAAACGACAUCGAAAGCUUACUUUUGAUGGGCGUCGACCGGCGCACGGGUGAGUAACGCGUAUCCAACCUGCCCAUCACUUGGGAAUAACCUUGCGAAAGUAAGACUAAUACCCAAUGAUAUCCCACGAAGGCAUCGGAAUGGGAUUAAAGAUUUAUCGGUGAUGGAUGGGGAUGCGUCUGAUUAGCUUGUUGGCGGGGUAACGGCCCACCAAGGCAACGAUCAGUAGGGGUUCUGAGAGGAAGGUCCCCCACAUUGGAACUGAGACACGGUCCAAACUCCUACGGGAGGCAGCAGUGAGGAAUAUUGGUCAAUGGGCGAGAGCCUGAACCAGCCAAGUAGCGUGCAGGAAGACGGCCCUAUGGGUUGUAAACUGCUUUUAUAAGGGAAUAAAGUGGGUCACGUGUGACUUUUUGCAUGUACCUUAUGAAUAAGGACCGGCUAAUUCCGUG
rnacentral:rRNA from 1 species